AUCACACCCGACGCGCAGACAACGCAUUGCGCAAACAACCCUCGCAAAUAUGAACUGGAAUUACAUGGGUCUAUUACAUAGCCAAUGUUGAACUUGGGAAUGGGUGUAGAAUGGGAAGAGACUGACAAACAGAGACCGGAAGCUCCUCCUGUUUGCAGCCAGAGUUGUUUUCUUCUUCUGAGGACGGGAAAGUUACAGCCAGGGCUUCCUGUCUGCGACUGCCUUCAUGUUGGUGAUUUGUGUUAAAUUGACAACAUAUAGUAUGGAGCGAAGUUCCAGGGAGACUUCUGUAUCCAUGCCCGAGCCAUAGAAAAGCCAGAGAUGGGCUAUAACUUCAAAAGAGUAAUAUCGUAUCGUUACUGUCUGUCUUCUGUUUACACAGUUAUGCAGCCUUCAAAAGAUCAACCCAGUGACCCCAACUCUUUGUUGCUGUCUGUGCUCACUGAUGAUUCAUAGGAUACUGUCUGUGUGCUGUAUGCUGUUGAUUUACUGAAAUACAAAAAACCAAUGGACUCAAUGAUUCUAACAUAUAGAAACUGACACAAAAGAGCAUCCUUGAGAACUUCCUUGAAAAAGUUCUGUUUGGAGGAGUAGGCCUACUGUAAAGUCUGUCAAGUACAGUCUGUCUAUAAAAUGCACCUGUUUGACCUGUCUGUAUUCUCAGCUGCACAGUGUAGGCUCUCUGGAGAAGCCAUUUUGAAUUCCAGCCCCUUUACAGUAAAGUGUUAUUACCUGCGAUUGGGGUGUUUGGGAAGAACCUUAAACUCAAGCUCUCAACAGUGUAAACAAUGUAUCAUCAGGUCUACGUGUCACAUCUCCAUCACACUGGGUGUAAAUGUGCUUUAACCCUUGUGUAGUCUUAACAUUCUGUAUACUCCCCUUGUCCCAAGGGUAAAAAAUGACCCGCCUUCACUAAACCCGUAAAAUAAAGCAGCUUAAUUGAAUUUUAAACCCCAAAUCUAUUUUUCAUGAAGAAACAACCUGUCAUUCAUCACAAACUUUGCGAAUAUCUGGGUUUUCCCUCUUCACAAUGCAGAAAGAGUGCAUUUAAUCAAUGGACACCACUCGUUUUUAUUACAACACACCUGUCAUAAUUGUUUUAUUUACGAAGGUAGAGGUUUAUUAUUAUUAUUAUUAUUGCUAAAGUUACUGCAUAGGUGUAAACAUAUUUUUUUUUUAGCAAGAGAUAGCACUUGUAUAGCCUAAGAAAGUAGCAGAAAUAUGCACAAAGUAGUUUUGAAUGCAUUUUAUUGAAGGGAAAAAAUAACUGUCAAACUUUUUUGGCAACAUAUUGAUAUAUUCUUAUACUAGUCUUCUCCUAUUUUUUUAACCAUUGCCCCCACCCACAAGGUGUAUACACAACAACAAUAAAUAAGAAUAAAAUAAGAUAAUAGAUACAAAACAAAAACGUGAAGAACAUAAAUCAAUCAACUCUAAUUAGCACAUGUAGAAGUGUGUGUGCAUGCAGAUGUAUUUCUCACAUGUGCAACACAUAGUAUUUGUUUUACAGUCCUUCUUUGGGGGGCAGAAUUGGCAUCUCCUCCUCUUGCCUGCCCCAGCUACAGCCUCAGGUGGAUCAGGACAAGAUUCAUCCCCCUGAACAGCUUUCACAAGCGCUGAAGAGGCUGCUGUGCGGGGGAGGUGUUCCCUUCUUUGAAUGUGUGGGGUUACAAGUGGCUUUCCCAGCUGCUCCAGGAACACCCUCCUCUUGUUCCACUUAUCAGGCAUCCAGGUACGGUUGAUCUUGUUCCAUAUCAUAAAGGCAUUGUAUGAGGACACAUCAAUGAUGUUAUGGAAGAUGACCAGGGGCUAGCGGGCAGUCAUCCUCCUGCAGCUGUAAGUUCCAAUCACCUUGUCUAGGUUGUCCACACCUCCUUUGUUGUGGUUUUAGUCCAGGAUGAUGGCUGGCUUUCCGGUCCUCACGAUCACUGAUCUCAGCCAUUUUGUGCAGUGUGCUCAGGAGGACCACAUUCUUGUUCCUCUUUGGGAGGUAAGAAACCAGAGUGGUGGUUGGGGUAAAGGCAAACUUUGAUGAGAAGGCCUCUCUCCCCCUUGUUGCGAGGAGUGCAGGGGGGAGCUCAGUCGUGUUCUUUCUAACUGUGCCAACCAUGGUGAUCUUCCUCUUCAGGAGCGGCUGGCUGAGUUCAAUCAGUAGCACACAAAAUCUCAAUUUCUCAUUGUGUGUGUGUGUGUGUGUGUGUGUGUGUGUGUGUGUGUGUGUGUGUGUGUGUGUGUGUGUGUGUGUGUGUCUCUUUGUGGUUUUUGUGGUGUGUAAAUGAUUUUAUAACUGCCGGGUCAAAAAUGACCCUAAGACAAUCUUUGUACCCUGGUGGUGUACAGCUUUCAUGGAAAUAUGAACAAAGGCAACCUUUCACUUUUUCUAAUUUUAGGAAAAGUAAUCAAAUUUCAAGUUGAAAAAAUAUCAUUUAGGGGGUUUUCUCUGCUGUUAAACAUAGUGGCUGGUCAUUUUUGACCCUUAAGACAACACAAGGGUUAACGCUUCCCAACCAUUUCCAGUGUGGUUUAUUAGAGUGUAGUGAUUCUCUGUAGGCUGUUCCCUUUCUCUGAUCAGCAUUUAACAGCACGGGAGUUGAGGGGGCAGCAUUAGUGGAAGUGCUGCUGCUUCUUUCUGGUUCAUCAUGUUAAGUAUAGCAUGCUAAUUAAGCAUCUGUUUAACAAGAUAUUAUUGUAGGUCCUCUAGUGUUGCUGAACAGAUGUUCAGACAUCAUUGGGACAACAUGACUUUAUCUCUAAUGGAAUGGAAACCUCAUAGUGUUUGCUGUUUAUGGCCGUGUGUAGCACAGAAGUCAUACAUUAUCUAUGUACUGAUAGAAAUCACUAUCUGCAUUUUCAAUUUGUUUCAUUUAGCAGACGUUCUUAUCCAGAGCGACUUACAGGAGCAAUUAUGGUUAAGUGCCUGGCUCAAGGGCACAGCAACAGAUUUUUCACCUAGUCAGCUCGGGGAUUCGAACCAACGACCUUUCUGCUACUUGCCCAACGCUCUUAACCGCUAGGCUACCUGCCACCCUAUCUAGGCUGCUAAUAUGUGUUGACAGUCUGUCAAUAUGGAUUGGUAAUAUAAGAAUGGAAAUCAUAGACAGUCUGAUGAACACAAAUCGCAUUGUGAUCAUGAUCAAAUUACCUUGAGGGAAUAUUCUUGGGAUGGGUGAAGUAGCAAAGUUUGAAAUUGUUAUUUUGAACCCAUAUGGCUAAUAAGUAUUGGAGGGGUUGGGAUCAAAACAGAUAGCCAGAGGCAAAUGGAAUCUUAGUCUUACUAUUAAAAUGUAUUUAAAAAAAAAAUCUUAUUGUUACACUAUGGGUGAAAAGCGAAACCUCCCUUAUUAAUCAUGUAAAACUGCGUAUUCCAUGUAUCUUUGGAGCUGAUUUUCUGUCUUGAUGUAAUAGUAUUGCAUCCAGAAAAGGCCGGUUGAGCAGAGGUGGAAAAACUCCCGUUACAAUUAGAUGUAUGCACAGCCUUCUUCUGAAUUCCAGGCAGGUUUUCUGUUGGUGAAAUUCCUGAUGAUUUGAGGCGUUCCAAGCGUGCGCUGGGUGCUGAUGUUCCCGACGGAACAUUGGAGUGCAGGCUGGCAACCGCAGAGGAUUCUGGGUAAUAAAGCUGCAGAUGAGUGUGUGCGUGCAUGCGCAUGUCUGAGUGUGUGCGUGCAUGCGCAUGUCUGAGUGUGUGUGUGCACGCGCAUGUGUGAGUUAGAGUAUCCUCAGUCACAGCUGUUCCUUGUCUCUCCUCUGUCUAAUGUGAUCUUACUGACAGACCUUCUCCUCAGUGCAGAUGUCUACUGCCGACAGGCCAGUGCCUGUGGGUGUAGCUCAGUUGUGGCUGGAGGUUACCCAGGUUAGAGUGCCCUCUGGCUAGGCUAACCUAUUUCUCCUUUCCCGGCCAGGAUAAUGGAUUGGUGUGGAUGGAGGUCAGGAGGGGAAGUUUUCCCUGUUUUCUCUUCUCCUCCUCUAUAACUGAACCUACAGUUAGUCUGUCUGGACAUUCAUCUCUGGAAGCUUCCCUUUUCCCCUAACGUAAACAACAUGGGGCACCAGAAGUCUUUCAAUGGAUAAGAUGGUCACAGUCUGGAGUUCAUUCGAAUCCGCCAAUGCUACGUUUACACAGUAAUGUACUGCUGCCUGCAAACACGCUUCUAUUCGAUGGACUAUUUAUUCCUUUGAGUGACCAAGUCACUCACUUUACUAUAUAUUUGUAAAUACAGUGUAUUAAAGUCCAUUAUUAAUACAUACUACCUCUCUUAUUACUUCUAGUACUUGUUAAUUUUGACUACACUCUUUUUAUUGUUAUUGACUAAUGUACUGCACUUCUUGUACCUGCAGUAAACUGUAUAUGUGACAAAUAAAAUUUGAUUUGAUUUCUUGUUCCCGAAGAAAGUGAAAGCGUCAGAGCCCAAGACCAUUCUGUGAUUGUAUUUGACCGGGGGGAAAAGAGUUACUGUAUAAAUCCAGCAAUGCGGGUUUGAUUGAAUCUGGUUCUGGAAGCGUUCAUGUCUUUCAGAUGAGUGGGUUUACUACCACCUGUUUUUUACUAUCCUUAGUGCCUGCCUCUCUAUGUGAUCAAGUCAUUUUCCAAUCAGGAAACGUGUAAAACUUGAGUAAGGACAACAGUUCUUUCAAUUGGGUGAUAGCGUCUCUAUCUGCAGUUACUCAUAAAGUAACAGCCUAAGAGGCUGAGGAGGUCGGCUGGAUUUGAUUUCAAGGAUCCCCAGAUGGGGGAGCGGUG
rnacentral:lncRNA from 1 species